GCUCUGGUAGCUUAACAGGUAAGCACUUGACUGCUAACCAAAAGGUUGGUGGUUGGAACUCACCCAGCUGCU
rnacentral:tRNA from 1 species